AUUGAACGCUGGCGGCAUGCCUUACACAUGCAAGUCGAACGGCAGCACGGGUGCUUGCACCUGGUGGCGAGUGGCGAACGGGUGAGUAAUACAUCGGAACAUGUCCUGUAGUGGGGGAUAGCCCGGCGAAAGCCGGAUUAAUACCGCAUACGAUCUACGGAUGAAAGCGGGGGACCUUCGGGCCUCGCGCUAUAGGGUUGGCCGAUGGCUGAUUAGCUAGUUGGUGGGGUAAAGGCCUACCAAGGCGACGAUCAGUAGCUGGUCUGAGAGGACGACCAGCCACACUGGGACUGAGACGCGGCCCAGACUCCUACGGGAGGCAGCAGUGGGGAAUUUUGGACAAUGGGCGAAAGCCUGAUCCAGCAAUGCCGCGUGUGUGAAGAAGGCCUUCGGGUUGUAAAGCACUUUUGUCCGGAAAGAAAUCCUUGGCUCUAAUACAGUCGGGGGAUGACGGUACCGGAAGAAUAAGCACCGGCUAACUACGUG
rnacentral:rRNA from 1 species